GCUUGGCUAGCUCAGUGGGUAGAGCAUGAGACUCUUAAUCUCAGAGUUAUGGGUAUGUGCCCCACGCAGCU
rnacentral:tRNA from 1 species